GUCCACGCCCUAAACGAUGUCAACUAGCUGUUGGGGCCUUCGGGCCUUGGUAGCGCAGCUAACGCGUGAAGUUGACCGCCUGGGGAGUACGGCCGCAAGGUUAAAACUCAAAGGAAUUGACGGGGACCCGCACAAGCGGUGGAUGAUGUGGUUUAAUUCGAUGCAACGCGAAAAACCUUACCCACCUUUGACAUGUAUGGAAGAUCGCAGAGACGCGAUUGUGCUCGAAAGAGAGCCAUAACACAGGUGCUGCAUGGCUGUCGU
rnacentral:rRNA from 1 species